rnacentral:rRNA from 1 species
UACGUAGGGUGCGAGCGUUACUCGGAAUUACUGGGCGUAAAGCGUGCGCAGGCGGUUUUGUAAGUCUGUCGUGAAAUCCCCGGGCUCAACCUGGGAAUUGCGAUGGAGACUGCAAGGCUAGAAUCUGGCAGAGGGGGGUAGAAUUCCACGUGUAGCAGUGAAAUGCGUAGAGAUGUGGAGGAACACCGAUGGCGAAGGCAGCCCCCUGGGUCAAGAUUGACGCUCAUGCACGAAAGCGUGGGGAGCAAACAGG